rnacentral:rRNA from 1 species
CCUACGGGAGGCAGCAGUGAGGAAUAUUGGUCAAUGGCCGAGAGGCUGAACCAGCCAAGUCGCGUGAGGGAAGACGGCCCUACGGGUUGUAAACCUCUUUUGUCGGGGAGCAAAAGACGCCACGCGUGGCGUUCCGAGAGUACCCGAAGAAAAAGCAUCGGCUAACUCCGUGCCAGCAGCCGCGGUAAUACGGAGGAUGCGAGCGUUAGCCGGAUUUAUUGGGUUUAAAGGGUGCGCAGGCGGGGGUGCAAGUCAGCGGUCAAAUUGCGGGGCUCAACCCCGUACUGCCGUUGAAACUGCAUCCCUUGAGUGCGCGAGAAGUAGGCGGAAUGCGUGGUGUAGCGGUGAAAUGCAUAGAUAUCACGCAGAACUCCGAUUGCGAAGGCAGCUCACUGGACUGCAACUGACACUGAUGCUCGAAAGUGUGGGUAUCAAACAGGAUUAGAUACCCGAGUAGUC